GCUUGGGGUCCUGAAUAGGUGUAAUUCUGCUUUAGACACACUGGCAUGAAAUGCCUGUGAUAGAAUCAUAUGUAAAUGUUUAAAAGUCAGCUGGAUAUACUGGUUCAUAGCUCAGCUUAGGAGAGAUCUACUGUGGAGAUAUCGGAGUCAUCAUGGAUUUCUGUUUGAAGGAAUGGCUAAGAUCAUCCACGGAGAAUGCCAAGUGAGAAGACCACUGAAAGAAACCAGGGGACAAUAACAUUCAAGGCACAGGCAGACGAAAAGAUGCUUCAGAAGAAAACUGAGGAGAAGCUGCUCUAAAGGAAAGAGAAGACAGAAGAGGUAGGCACCACAGCAAUCACUGAGAAGAAUCCCCAAAACAAGUAGCAGUCGAACGCCAGAUCCAUCACAGGACAAGCAAGAAAACAGCCAGGAAUGUGAGUCGUGUGCCCCAGUGCUCAUCUCCGCUCAUCUCGGAGGCUUCCUACCUCCAGCCCAAUCCAUCUCCCCUCUAUGGCACUUUUGAGAAAUUAUUCCUUUAGGUGAAGAGGAGGAGAACAAUGUGAUUUCUUUCAUGGAAUUCUGCCCUAACACCAAAAAUAAAUUCUGAACUCCUGCCAACUAACUGAAAUCCCAGCACCAAGCCUUCAUUUCUAGAUUCAGUGCCUAAAGUGCCUGGCAGACAGUGAGAAUCAAAUAAAAUGCUUUCUGAACUGAAUGAAAUAGCCUCCCUACCUGGAGAAGCAUCAUAACCAGACACUUCAAAAUCUCUUAUCAAGCACAACAAAAUAAAGUAAAAAACAGAAAUGA